rnacentral:rRNA from 1 species
AUGACCCGGUGAAUUUAAGCAUAUCACUAAGCGGAGGAAAAGAAACUAACCAGGAUUCCCCUAGUAACGGCGAGUGAAGAGGGAAUAGCCCAGCACCGAAGCCUGCGGCAGUUUUGCUGUUAGGCAAUGUGGUGUUUGGACCGGCUCGUGGGAUUGCCACUCCACUCGAAGUCCAGCAUUGAGUAUGGUUCCCUGGAUUUGGCCCAGAGAGGGUGAAAGGCCCGUGCGAGUGGAUGUUUCAGACAUGUAAGGCAAUUCACCAGGACGGUCUUAGAGUCGGGUUGUUUGAGAAUGCAGCCCUAAGUGGGUGGUAAACUCCAUCCAAGGCUAAAUACUAGCACGAGUCCGAUAGCGAACAAGUACCGUGAGGGAAAGUUGAAAAGUACUUUGAAGAGAGAGUAAACAGUACGUGAAACCGCAUAGAGGUAAACGGGUGGCGUCAAGCUGCAAGCCCAGAGGAUUCAGUCGGUCAGGAUGUUGUAUGUGCCUGGCGCAUCUAUCAGUCGGUAUUAGAUCGGGUAGUCCACCGGGAAACGGUGGGCCCAGCCGCAAGGUUGGGAUUUGCGUACCGGGAGACUGCCGGAGCAUGCUGCCUAUCUGUUGGACUGUCUGGCCGAUGCACUUCCUCUGUUCAGGUGAACACCACGACCGGUGGUACUGCCAGUCUGUUGUGGCCAAGUUGUGUCUAGUCGGCAUUUAUGUCACCUGGAUGCAAUCACAGGCAAUGUCAUUGUCCGGCGUUCAGACGUUCGCGUUCGUUCGUGUUAUCGGGCAGUGCUUGUCAACGGGUCUGUUCAUUGAUGCUGUAGUCGUCAGUGGAUGACUUGGUGGGCCAUGAUGGUAAGAAUAACUGUGCAGGGCACCGGAGUUCGCGGUCUCUAAUCCGGCUCGCAUACACACUACAGUGGUGCGGAGCGUUAUUGCGGCCUGCCUGUGGUUGGGUCCGAUUGCCGUGUCGCCUGCGCAAAGUAGGCCCGGCUUUGGCCUAGCUCUGGUUGGAGUCGUGGAUAGCGUUUCCUGUGUGAGUCGGUGUGGACCAAACAGUCAGUGGUGUAGUGGUAGACCAGCCACCCGACCCGUCUUGAAACACGGACCAAGGAGUUUAACAUGCGCGCAAGUCAUGGGGUCUUACGAAACCCAAAGGCGCAGUGAAAGUGAAGCCUCGACUUGUUCUCGGGGUGUGGUGAGAUCCUGCUGUUACUCGCAUCUGUACUUGUGCACUGUGUCAGCACUAGGCAAAGAGCAGCAGGCGCAUCACCGGCCCGUCCCAUGAUGUGGUCAUUGGUCGGUUGUAGUUGUGGGCUUCGGCUUGUGGCUGCAGCUCCAGUGCGUCAUCGGGGCGGAGCAUGAGCGCGCAUGUUGAGACCCGAAAGAUGGUGAACUAUGCUUGCGUAGGUUGAAGCCAGAGGAAACUCUGGUGGAGGACCGCAGCGAUUCUGACGUGCAAAUCGAUCGUCAAACGUGAGUAUAGGGGCGAAAGACUAAUCGAACCAUCUAGUAGCUGGUUCCCUCCGAAGUUUCCCUCAGGAUAGCUGGCGCUCAUUCGCAAGAUCAGUUUUAUCCGGUAAAGCGAAUGAUUAGAGGUACUGGGUUCGAAACGAGCUCAACCUAUUCUCAAACUUUAAAUGGGUGAGAUGCCCGGCUCGCCUAAUAGGAGUCGGGCGUUGAAUGUGCGAGUGCCAAGUGGGCCAUUUUUGGUAAGCAGAACUGGCGCUGUGGGAUGAACCAAACGCUCGGUUAAGGUGCCUAACGCUGACGCUCAUGAGAUACCACAAAAGGUGUUGGUCAAUACAGACAGCAGGACGGUGGCCAUGGAAGUCGGCAUCCGCUAAGGAGUGUGUAACAACUC